UGCCAGACUCCUACGGGAGGCAGCAGUGGGGGAUAUUGGACAAUGGGGGAAACCCUGAUCCAGCGACGCCGCGUGAGUGAAGAAGUAUUUCGGUAUGUAAAGCUCUGUCCGCAGGGAAGAAAGAAAUGACGGUACCUGACCAAGAAGCCCCGGCUAACUACGUGCCAGCAGCCGCGGUAAUACGUAGGGGGCAAGCGUUAUCCGGAUUUACUGGGUGUAAAGGGAGCGUAGACGGCUGUGCAAGCCAGAUGUGAAAGCCCGGGGCUCAACCCCGGGACUGCAUUUGGAACUGUGUGGCUGGAGUGUCGGAGAGGCAGGCGGAAUUCCUAGUGUAGUGGUGAAAUGCUUAGAUAUCACGAAGAACCCCGAUUGCGAAGGCAGCCUGCCGCAGCGUUACUGACGCUGAGGCUCGAAAGCGCGGGUAUCGAACAGGAUUAGAUACCCUGGUAA
rnacentral:rRNA from 1 species